UACGUAGGGUGCAAGCGUUGUCCGGAAUUAUUGGGCGUAAAGAGCUCGUAGGCGGUUUGGCGCGUCUGCUGUGAAAACUCGGGGCUUAACCCCGGGCCUGCAGUGGGUACGGGCAGACUAGAGUGCGGUAGGGGAGACUGGAAUUCCUGGUGUAGCGGUGAAAUGCGCAGAUAUCGGGAGGAACACCGGUGGCGAAGGCGGGUCUCUGGGCCGUAACUGACGCUGAGGAGCGAAAGCGUGGGGAGCGAACAGG
rnacentral:rRNA from 1 species